rnacentral:rRNA from 1 species
GACGAACGCUGGCGGCGCGCCUAACACAUGCAAGUCGAACGAGCGAGAGAGAGCUUGCUUUCUCGAGCGAGUGGCGAACGGGUGAGUAACGCGUGAGGAACCUGCCUCAAAGAGGGGGACAACAGUUGGAAACGACUGCUAAUACCGCAUAAGCCCACGACCCGGCAUCGGGUAGAGGGAAAAGGAGCAAUCCGCUUUGAGAUGGCCUCGCGUCCGAUUAGCUAGUUGGUGAGGUAACGGCCCACCAAGGCGACGAUCGGUAGCCGGACUGAGAGGUUGAACGGCCACAUUGGGACUGAGACACGGCCCAGACUCCUACGGGAGGCAGCAGUGGGGAAUAUUGCACAAUGGGGGAAACCCUGAUGCAGCGACGCCGCGUGGAGGAAGAAGGUCUUCGGAUUGUAAAAUCCUGUUGUGGAGGAAGAUAAUGACGGUACUCAACAAGGAAGUGACGGCUAACUACGUG